GAUGAACGCUGGCGGCGUGCCUAAUACAUGCAAGUCGAGCGAAGUGGGGACGGGUGAGUAACACGUAGAUAACCUCCUAUAAGCCUGGGAUAACUUCGGGAAACCGGAGCUAAACCGGAUAAUUAUAGAUUGAUUGGCGUGGCUUUAGCGAGUUGGUAAGGGAACGGCUAACCAAGGCAACGUUGCAUAGCGGACCUGAGAGGGUGAUCGGCCACCCUGGAACGGAGACACGGUCCAGACUCCUACGGGAGGCAGCAGUAGGGAAUCUUCCGAAAUGGGCGAAAGCCUGACGGAGCAACGCCGCGUGGGUGAGGAAGGUCUUCGGGUCGUAAAACUCUGUUAGUAGGGAAGCGGUACCUAAUCAGAAAGCCACGGCUAACUACGUGCCAGCAGCCGCGGUAAUUC
rnacentral:rRNA from 1 species